UACGUAGGGUGCAAGCGUUAAUCGGAAUUACUGGGCGUAAAGCGUGCGCAGGCGGCUAUGCAAGACAGAUGUGAAAUCCCCGGGCUCAACCUGGGAACUGCAUUUGUGACUGCAUGGCUAGAGUACGGUAGAGGGGGAUGGAAUUCCGCGUGUAGCAGUGAAAUGCGUAGAUAUGCGGAGGAACACCGAUGGCGAAGGCAAUCCCCUGGACCUGUACUGACGCUCAUGCACGAAAGCGUGGGGGAGCA
rnacentral:rRNA from 1 species